UUUCACAGUAACGGCCUCACGCUCUACUUCUUGUGUUACUGUGAUAUCCUCCUCUUUCUCCGUCCAGCAGAACACAUCUUUUUAGCAGGAGCACCCGCACUAGGACCGGGGGAGGUUGCUGCUGCACUAGUGACUUAGAUUUUCUUCAGCAAAGAUGGCGGACAGAAAUACUUGGAGAGAGGGGUACCCCUACACAGAACUGAACCGGAUCAAAGAUGGCGGACAGAAAUACUAGGAGAGAGGAAUACCCCUACACAGAACUGAACCGGAUCAUAAGAUGGCGAACAGAAAUACUAGGAUGGAAGCAAAAUGGACUCCUGAAACAACCAGCAAACCAAGCUGUCGUUUUGUGAAGCAGUGGAUGUAUAGAACCUAGCUAGCUGAAGAAUUUACUGCAAAUUGAAUGUACAAUUGUGUAAGCUUGUCUUGCUGAUAUUUGCUAUGCAGAUAGAUGAAAUAACGUAGCUAGAUAUGUUCUUGCUUAUUGUGCAGUGGAUGAUUUAAAUACCUGUAUGCCUAUGGAUGUGUAGCUAGCUAUCUAGCUGAUCUGUGUGUGGACCCAAACAUUUGGUAUACAUAUUAGUUCAGAACCUAGCUAUGAACCUCAGCUAUCAUAGCCAGUUGUAUCAACUUCAAAACAGCCUAAGUGACAUUAAUGAAGCCUGUGGAUUGAGUAGAAUAUAAUAUCAUGUUGUGCCAAGGAUGCAAGUAGUUAUUACCAUGCAUGAGAUCCCCACAUUGUAGCCUGUACAUUUAAUAUAUUCACUGAUCAUGUACUCUACCUUGGCAAAUGAAGGUGCAGUUUAGGUAUGAAUGUCUUUGAGAUUAUUUUUGUCAUAUCCAAUACCAGGAGUAUCAAAUUCCAGUCUUUGAAUGAUGCUGUGUCUGCAUGUAUGUAUUACAAUUAUACACUUCAACAGUGUUUACCAAUCUUGGUAAUGGGACAUCAAUGGUUACACAUUGUAACUAAUAGACUAUAAACAGGAUUUAACUAGUUAAUUCAUAUAUACAGAAAUAUAAUGUUAAAAAACAUUACACUACACUUCCUAUGCACCAUGUAAAUACUCUAAC